ACACAUGCAAGUCGAACGGGCACUUUAGGGUGUCAGCGGCGGACGGUUGACUAACGCGUGGGGAAGUGCCUUCUGGAUCGGAUUAAUUCUAGGGCUACGUGAGAUGAUACCAUGAUACGCCGUUUUGGGAUAAGGUUUAGUGUCGGAAGAUAGGCCCGCGUCUGAUUAGGUACCUGGUGGGGUAUCGGCAUACGCAAGUGGACGAUCGGUACCCUGAUAUGAGAGGAUGAUCAGGUACACUAGUACUGAGACACGGCCCAGAAUCGUAUGGGAGGCAGCAGGUGGGGAAUAUAGGACAAUGAGCGCGAGCGUGAUCCAGCGAUGCUGUGUGUGUGAUGAAGGCUUUGGGAUGGUAGAGUUAUUUUAACCGGGAUGAUGAUGACAGUACCGGGAGAAUAAGCUCCGGCUAACUCCGUGCCAGCAGCCGCGGUAAU
rnacentral:rRNA from 1 species